UCACGACAAUGGCAAAGUAGUAGAAAUGCUAUGACGCAAAGCUAUAGGGCCUUACCGUAACUGGUUGGCAGCCUAGCUACCGAA
rnacentral:ncRNA from 2 species